GCUAAACGCGAAGAACCUUACCCAGGCUUGACAUCCUGUUAAUUUCUCCGAAAGGAGAGAGUGCCUUCGGGCCGCAGUGACAGGUGAUGCAUGGCCGUCGUCAGCUCGUGUCGUGAGAUGUUUGGUUAAGUCCAUCAACGAGCGCAACCCCUGUGAGUAGUUGUAUUUCUUCUACUCAGACUGCCCUCGGUAACAGGGAGGGAAGGAGGGGAGUGAUGUCAGGUCAGUAUCUCCCUUACGUCUGGGGCGUACAAACACGCUACAAUGGCCGGUACAAAGGGCUGCCAACCCGCGAGGGGAGCAAAUCCCAUCAAAGCCGGUCUCAGUUCGGAUAGCAGGCUGAAACUCGCCUGCUUGAAGCUGGAAUCGCUAGUAAUGGUAGGUCAGCACACUACCGUGAAUACGUUCCCGGGUCUUGUACACACCG
rnacentral:rRNA from 1 species